rnacentral:rRNA from 1 species
AACGAACGCUGGCGGCAGGCCUAACACAUGCAAGUCGAGCGCCCCGCAAGGGGAGCGGCGGACGGGUGAGUAACGCGUGGGAACGUACCCUUUGCUACGGAAUAGCCUCGGGAAACUGGGAGUAAUACCGUAUGUGCCCUUCGGGGGAAAGAUUUAUCGGCAAAGGAUCGGCCCGCGUUGGAUUAGGUAGUUGGUGGGGUAAUGGCCUACCAAGCCGACGAUCCAUAGCUGGUUUGAGAGGAUGAUCAGCCACACUGGGACUGAGACACGGCCCAGACUCCUACGGGAGGCAGCAGUGGGGAAUCUUAGACAAUGGGCGCAAGCCUGAUCUAGCCAUGCCGCGUGAGCGAUGAAGGCCUUAGGGUUGUAAAGCUCUUUCAGUGGGGAAGAUAAUGACUGUACCACAGAAGAAGCCCGGCUAACUCCGUGCCAGCAGCCGCGGUAAUGUACAGUGU